GCAGUUGAGCAGAAGCGGAUAAAAGGGAGGGGAGGAGGGAGAAGAGGAGGAGGAAAAGCCAGGCUUGGAGUCCCACACAAGGGGAGCAAGCCAGUGGGAAUCGAAGCAGUGUUCAUUUCAGAGUGUGCCUCUGUUAGCAGGGCACUACACUCUCUGAGUCUACUCUCUGUAUCUACUGGGCCUUUAUACACGCUUUCUCUCCUUCUCUUUUAUCUUACUCUGUAUAUCGUGACUUCAGUCUGAGCUGGUUAGAGAAGUAAACUCGGCGAGAGAGCAGCUGAACUGGAUUUGAAUGAAAGACUCGAAGCAAUGAGAAGAAAAAGGUGCCAAAGAAAAAGUGGUUGAAGUAGAAGAGAAGAAGAAAAUCUGUAAGCAAACAUUCCUAUGAAGAAAGAAACAUGUAUGACUUGCAAACACUAAGGUAGCCGAGUCAGCAAGACAGAAAUGAAGAUGGUUCAUCGUUAAUGGCUUUCUAUGGUCUCUGCUGUAUUUUUGCUGAAGGUGUCGGCCUACUCUAUCCCACAAGCCUGACUCCAUUUUGAUGCCAGCCAUGGAGAUGAGGACUGACCAGUACGGUAGUACCCAAACUAUACUGGCACCAUCAGCAAUCCACUUCAUCCACACCGAUUUAAGAGACAGCUCAGAGUCUGCGACUGGAAUCAGAGCGGUGAGUUCAAGUUCCUCCUUUCUUUUCUUCCUCCCUCUCGUCGACCUACUCCUACUCCUCUCCUGAUCCUCCCCUUCUUACUGCUCCCCCUGUUGCGAGAUGCUGCCUGUGCCACAAUAGGUCCGGCUGUCUAACAACU